UACAGAGGUCUCAAGCGUUGUUCGGAUUCAUUGGGCGUAAAGGGUGCGUAGGUGGCGAGGUUAGUCAGGUGUGAAAUCUCGGGGCUCAACCCCGAAACUCCACUUGAUACUGCCUUGCUAGAGUACUGGAGAGGAGAUUGGAAUUUACGGUGUAGCAGUGAAAUGCGUAGAUAUCGUAAGGAAGACCAGUGGCGAAGGCGAAUCUCUGGACAGUUACUGACACUGAGGCACGAAGGCCAGGGGAGCAAACGGG
rnacentral:rRNA from 1 species